CAGCCGUAAACUAUGCGCGUUAGGUGUGUCGGUAACCACGUGUUACUGAUGCGCCGAAGAGAAAUCGUGAAACGCACCACCUGGGAAGUACGGUCGCAAGGCUGAAACUUAAAGGAAUUGGCGGGGGAGCACCACAACAGGUGGAGCCUGCGGUUUAAUUGGAUUCAACGCCGGACAUCUCACCGGAUAAGACAGCUGAAUGAUUGUCAAUCUGAAGGUUUUACAUGACUAGCUGAGAGGUGGUGCAUGGCGUCAGUGACU
rnacentral:rRNA from 1 species